UGGGGAAUAGUGCACAAUGGGCGCAAGCCUGAUGCAGCGACGCCGCGUGAGGGAUGACGGCCUUCGGGUUGUAAACCUCUUUCGCUAGGGACGAAGCGUAAGUGACGGUACCUGGAGAAGAAGCACCGGCCAACUACGUGCCAGCAGCCGCGGUAAUACGUAGGGUGCGAGCGUUGUCCGGAAUUACUGGGCGUAAAGAGCUCGUAGGCGGUUUGUCGCGUCGUCUGUGAAAUUCUGCAACUCAAUUGCAGGCGUGCAGGCGAUACGGGCAGACCUGAGUACUACAGGGGAGAGUGGAAUUCCUGGUGUAGCGGUGGAAUGCGCAGAUAUCAGGAGGAACACCGGUGGCGAAGGCGGGUCUCUGGGUAGUAACUGACGCUGAGGAGCGAAAGCGUGGGG
rnacentral:rRNA from 1 species